UGUUAAUGUGAAAAAAAAUUUGUUCCAAGAUAUGUUUUACAAAAUUAAGUGAUGUUCUAUUUCACAAUGACAAGAACUUAGCUGCAAUUUUUCUGUAUUUUCUCUUUAGUUUCAAUGAACCUGAUGGUUUAUCUGAGAUUGGUAUGCUUCUUGAAGAGGGUGAAGGAGCAGUAGUACCUUCGAAUUGCAUAGGUGAUGUUGAAGAUUUUGUCAGGCGAGCAUUGAUGUCAAAUUUGGAGUAAGUAUGUAAGAUUUUCUUUUGGACUGCAGAGAGGUAAAGUUGGGUGCUAUAAGCUUCACGUUGGGAUGGAUAUGAAGUAGGUUUAGAAAAUGAGUUAAGGCAAAG